ACUUGCUUUUAAAAUAGGCUCAGGGCCAGAGAGGUGGCUCAGUAGUUCAGAGUGCUGGCUGCGCGUGGAGAAGACCCAGGUUCAGUUCCCAGCACCUACAUGACAGCUUACAACCAUCAGUAACUCUAGUUCCAGGGGAUCUGACAUCAUCUUUUGGCCUCCCUGGGCACCAGGCAUGUGCAUAGUACAUACAUAUAAUGUGCAGGCAGAAUACACAUAUAAAGUAAAAAUAAUUACUUAAAAAAAUUAAAGUUAUAAUCUAGUUUAUAUAGUCACUGUUCUUAGUAUUUAGAGGGUAGAUUUGGUUCUGGUGCGGGGGUUGUGGGUUGUGGGUGGAUGGGGAGGAAUGUUCUUGCUCUUAGAAAUUCAGGCUCAUUUUAUUCCUGGGGAAGUUCCAGAAAGUAUUUUGAUGAUGUGGCGUAGUAGAGAAAGCUUCGUCACAAUUCAUGAUCUUAGUUAACAGUUGGUACGUCAUUUUUAGUCUUUUUCUGCCCUUUCCAUUCCAUCCCAUGGGUCAUUUUUAGGAGAGAAGAAUUCUUCAAAGGGUGGAAUAAUUGAUGGUUAUCCCAAGCAGCAAGAAGAGAAAUGUGGAGGUCUUGGGCCCUUCCCUGAGGACUCAGAGAAAACUGGCCUGGGUCUGAGAUGGGCUCUAGUCAUUAUACCUACUGUCAAAGACAUAGGAGAGUUUCCAUGAUGUCACCCUACAGAAACAGUUCAAGCAGCUGCCUUUUUCCUUUUGUGUUCCUCUCUGUUGAACGUCCAUCCCUCCACCCCUCCUUGCAGAAGUUCAGUGACUCAGGAUGGAUUCUUGAGGACAAGAAUGGGAAGGUGGUCUUUUCCAUUGUUUCAACAAAUAAGACUUUGCCCAGCAUUCUUGGAACCUAAAUGUUUAAUUUUGUCAUGACUUGUAGUACCUGAUGAGAAAGGUGUGGCUUUUCAUUGCAGUAUCCAGAAAGAGUCCCUUCUCUUGGGUUCAGUGAUGAAAAUGGUUCAGAUGGGCUGUUCAGAUACGUCUAGGCCUGUCACACAGUGUAUGCUCAGGUUGUUUCCAAAUGAAGAUCAGGGGCUGGAGACAGAGAUCUCAGGUUAAGAGUGCUUGCAACUUUCAGAGGACUUUAGUUUGGUUCCCAACACACAUAUCAAGUGGCUUAGAACUACCUGUACCUCCAAUUAAAGGUACUUCAGCACUCUCCUUUAGUCUUUGCUGGCACCCGCACAUACAUGCAGAUACCUACACGUAAAUAAAAAAUCAAAAGAAGAGCAUGUGGGCCAUUUUUGGGAAUGACACAACUUGAACUAGAGGUAGUUGGCUUGGGGACAAAGCUGCACAGCAGUAGGACCUAGAACAUGGACUUGUUUGGGUCUAGAAUUUACUCGGGAACAGUCCAGUGUAUAGUGUUGAUGGAGAGAAGCUGAGGAGUUGUCUGUCCCUCCCCAUCCUUCUGGUAACCUAACCUGUACAGAGAGCUGCAAGCCUGUCAGAGCUGGCUCACACACCACUUCAGUGCCCCUGAGCACAUUAGGGACUCUUAACAGCAAGCAAAGACUAAGUAGAGUCACUCAUAAGUAGUGGACCCUGUCUGAUAACUGAGUGGCAGAGAGAAGAUAGAGAUUUCUCAAAAACAGAGCCCUGUUGAAACUUCUACUCUGUAGUGGGCUUAAAGUCGUAUGUUCACACACUUCUCAGGGUGUAACAGGUGGUUCCUGCAGCUUUGAGUGAUACUUACUGAGGCCCCUUAACUUAGAUGUAUUAAUUCCUGAGUAAGGCGCUUUAGUACAUAAGGUACCCUGGCAGGAAUAGAGAUAGAUUAUUCUUCACGGUGUGGAGACCUGGUCCUCUAACCGGACUUGUGAAAUGUAUGCACUAGAGGUGAUGGUGUUCCCCCAACCUUAUUGUGUGGAUCUAUCAGUGCAAAAGAGCCUCUUAAGAGAAGAUGCUGUCUCAGUGUGAAUUAAGUAGGCAGGCCUCAUUAUGUGAAUUUGCUUGCUUAAACUCUGUUGAAGUGUUGUAUCUAUACAGGCGAUCAGGGAUUCUUCACAGACAGAACAUACAUGAAUGCAGAAGCCAGAGGUUCCCUUUUGCCUACUAUUUCUUCCACAGCCACCAUCCACUUUUAAGCAAAAUCCAUUUCAUCUGGCUUGAAAUAUGUGAAAUAAAAUAAAAAAUACGUUCCUUGGCUU
rnacentral:lncRNA from 1 species